GAGUGGUUGCUUUUAAUAAAAGAGGAAAGUCCGGGCUUCAUAGAGCAGGAUGCAAGAUAACAUCUUGACGGAGUAAUCCGAUGAAAAGUGCAACAGAAAAUAUACAGCCAAUAUGGUAAUGGUGAAAUGGUGGUGUAAGAGACCACCGAGUUCAUAGUAAUAUUGAACUGCAAUGUAAACUCCAUCCGAAGCAAGUAAAAUUUAGUCACUUAGGUUGCUCGCCUAGACUAAGGUAUACGCUUGAAACUUAUGGUGACAUAAGUUCUAGAUAGAUGACCACAUAGACAGAACCCGGCUUAUAGCU
rnacentral:RNase_P_RNA from 1 species